rnacentral:rRNA from 1 species
UACGUAGGGUCCGAGCGUUGUCCGGAAUUACUGGGCGUAAAGAGCUCGUAGGUGGUUUGUCGCGUUGUUCGUGAAAACUCACAGCUCAACUGUGGGCGUGCGGGCGAUACGGGCAGACUUGAGUACUGCAGGGGAGACUGGAAUUCCUGGUGUAGCGGUGGAAUGCGCAGAUAUCAGGAGGAACACCGGUGGCGAGGGCGGGUCUCUGGGCAGUAACUGACGCUGAGGAGCGAAAGCGUGGGGAGCGAACAGG